UACAGAGGGGGCAAGCGUUGUUCGGAAUUACUGGGCGUAAAGGGCGCGUAGGCGGCCUUCUAAGUCGAACGUGAAAUCCCUGGGCUUAACCCAGGAACUGCGUCCGAUACUGGAAGGCUUGAAUCCGGGAGAGGGAUGCGGAAUUCCAGGUGUAGCGGUGAAAUGCGUAGAUAUCUGGAGGAACACCGGUGGCGAAGGCGGCAUCCUGGACCGGCAUUGACGCUGAGGCGCGAAAGCCAGGGGAGCAAACGGG
rnacentral:rRNA from 1 species